AUGUGACUGAUAGGACAUCACCAGUAAACCAUUCACUCGGACUUUCAACUGUCACUUCAGGAACACAUGUGACUGAUAGGACAUCACCAGUAAACCAUUCUCUCGGACUUUCAACUGUCACUUCAGGAACACAUGUGACUGAUAGGAGUUCCUCUGAUGCCACUUAUGAUGUGUUACCAGUUGUCCUUUUGAGUGGUUUGUUGGCCCUGUUUGUGCUACUUAUCCUUUUGGUCUUGAUCCUCUGGCCCAUUUGCAAGAGAGGAAGAUAUUACACACACGAGCCAAAUGAAACAGAAGGUCCAAAGGUCCACGAACUGUCCGACUCUUCAGAUGAAGAUCUGUGAUCAUCAUCAUCAUCAUCCUCCUCCUCCCUUCACAGCAUCUCCUGCUUGAUUCGGGACUUUUAUCACAUUUCUGUUUUCUUUUCUGUCCACUGUCCUCUUUUUUACUGACCAGGAGAUGUUUUUAAAUCCACCUCUUAUCAUUUUUUUUCCUCUUUAUUUCAUUUAUCUGCAUCGUGAAGAAUCCGGCUUUAGCGUUUAGUGUUAAAUGAGGAAUUUUGACUGUUUUUUUUUUAAUGAAGAGACAAUUUUUCAUUUCAUCAAACCAUCUUUAUUUCAUCCGUGUCUCUGCCUUUAACGGCUCCUUCAUCCUGACCAUGUCCAAUCUGCAAACAUCAAAUAUUCAGUGGGACAGACAAUGUUCCUUUCACUCAUGCUGAUGUUUUAUUAAUCUUCUAAUAUCUUUAACGCACUUUAAAAAAAUAAAAAAGAGUCUGGACUUUGAAGUCCCGUCUCAGACAUAAAAUCAGGACAAAAAGAUAAAACGUUCCUAUAAAUGAUGACUUAGACUGCAGUUUGUGGAUAAAGUUCAGCGCUGAACUGAUUAAACCAACCAAGUUGUAAGAUUUUAAAUCCAUGUAUUUUGUCAAAAAAGAAAGAAAGAAGAGUUAUGAAGUGGUUGAAAUAAUAAAUGCACACCCUUUAUUUAUUUGAAUGCUAACAAACAUUUCUAACCCUAAAAGGAAGAACGCUAACAUCCUGCUCUGCUCUGCAGACAUCCCCUUCACUACAACAUCCCUGUUUUAAACAGUCUCAGGAGCAACCAGCUGCCUUCAAGGUCACACAGUCGCUUUAUUUUUUUCCAACAUCUGCGUGAAAUCACAGCAAUCGACUCAACAGCUUGAAUAAAAGCAGCUGUUUACUGCGGCCCGUCGCUUUUUAAGGGCAGAUCCACACAAAGGCAGUGGUGUGGGCUCUGAAGACCUCCUAAAGCUUCAGGGAACGCAUCAGGUAAGGGACUUUAAAAGAUUCCUGAGGCUUUGAAGAUUCCCUGGGGUACUUGUUAAGUCCAUUAUUCAGGAGAGGAAAGUGCAUGGCACCACUCACAGUCUGGGCUUCCAUCAAAAACUAGAUGACUCAGAAAGGAGACGCUUGGUGAGAAAGACCACCAAGAACCAAAAGAUCUACAGGAAUUUAAGGCCAACAGAUGAAAAGGUGCAUCACACAACAAUAUCAAAGAUAUUGCACAUCUGGCCUGUGUGGUGGAAAGAAGAAAGCCAGGUCUCUAAAAGGUUCCUCUGGAGUGCUGUAUGAAGUUCGCACACUUAAGAUGCCUGCAACAAACUGGCAGAAGAUUUUUUUUUUUUAGUGGUCAGAACAACAACCCAUCUGGACUGUGAAGCAUGGUGGUGGAAGGAUAGUGGAUGUUUCUCAUCUUCAGAGGAACGACUGAGAGGAGGAUGAAUGAAGAAUGAAGUAAAGGGAGAUUCUGGGGCCUGAUGAAAUCUGCAAAACAUCUGAAAAUGGGUCAGGAAUUCAUAUUCCAACAAGACAGUGACCACAAGCAGAAGGUCAAAACCAGCAUGGUGUGAUUUAUUAGGAACAAAGUGGAUGGUCUGGAGUAGGCGAGUCAAAUCCCUGUUCUAAAUCCAGCUGAAAAGUUAAAACAAAAUGAACAGUUCUGCAAAGAGGAGUGAGGGAGAAGAUCUCCAGAUCCUGGUGUGCUAGCCAGCCUGAGUUGACUCUGGAGGCGUGUGUAACUGAGCAAAUUUCAGUUCUGUUAAUUCUAUCUUUUUUCCAGUAAAAAUGAAUCCACAGUCAUGCAGUCAUGUGGCACGGUGUCUUCAAAUCAGGAGAAAUAAAUCCUUCAACUUUGGAGAACCAGAUACAACACAAUGUAAAGGUGUUGAAAAGGGUGUGCAUUCAGUUUCUGUCCACUGUAAUCAUGUAAAACCAGGUGAUAUUAACAUGUUACUUUCUUUUUUUUGUUGUGAUGCAUUAAAUAAAUCACGCUUUCUGUGUCCUGAAAGCAUUUUUUACGUGGUCUUAUAGGUAUAUACACUGACCAGCCAUAACAUUAUGACCACCUGUCUAACAUUGUGAUGGUGCCCCUUUUGCUGCCAAAACAGCCUUGACUCGUCGAGACAUGGACUCCACUAGAUCCCUGAAGGUGUGCUGUGGGAUCUGGCACCAAGAUGUUAGCAGCAGAUCCUUCAAGUCCUGGAAGUUGCAAGGUGGGGCCUCCAUGGGAUACUUACAGGACUUAAAGGAUACUUUUGAUAGACCGGGAACACCCCACAAGUCCUGCAGUUUAGGAGAUCCUCUGAUCCAGUGGUCUAGGAGGAGGGGUUUGUAGGAAACUCUGCCCCUGCUGUAGUGUUCGAUAUUCUAGGUACUAAUAAAGAGCCUGUUCCUAUAGCUCUAGCAACAUGGAGGAUCAUAACUUGUACAGUAAGACAGAUGAGGGUGAUGUGGUCAUAACUUCAGGUUGAACAGAGUUACAGUAGGUUAACAGCAGGUAACUAAAGCAUGUAAAGCUGUGGUGGUUCUUAUCCUAGCAGAAAGAAGAGAUGAGGGACUGGAAUCAAUAAUCACACCAGAGUUAUUCCUGCUAGCUGCUUGUGCUGCUAAAACGCUAAAGGUACAGUCUUUAAAGUAGUCUUCUAGCUCUUUCCUUUUAUACAGUUAUCAAUGUCUUGCACGUUUACUCUCAGCGUUUAGAUCUAAAUUACCAUUUAAAGCUUCUCUGUAGGCAGUGUUAAGAUUGCAUCGGCGCUAACACAGUGACCGGUCAGUGUAGAGACAUUCACUAAAGUGUCAUUUCACUCUGAUGACCUGCUUAACAACAAAACUCUUUGAAAUGGAAGAGAUGAAGACGUGUUUGUUUACGUUAUUUAUAUUGAAGUGUCAGCGUGUAAUGAAGCGAGAUUUAAAGCCGGCAGUAAAACCAGGCUUUUCUUCACAACAUCUGGAAAUAACGCCUGCGAGUGUUGUGCAGUUUAAUAAUAAUACACAUUAACGUGAUUAAACCAAGCAGCUUACGGCGGAUUGGAGUCGUUUUCAUUAAGCUGCUCCGUGUGUGUGUGUGUGUGUGUGUGUGAGAAAGAGAGAGA